ensembl:misc_RNA 7SK 7SK RNA
GGAUGUGAGGGUGAUCUGGCUGCGACAUCUGUCACCCCAUUGAUCACCAGGGUUGAUUUGGCUGAUCUGGCUGGCUAGGCCGGUGUCCCCUUCCUCCCUCACCACUCCAUGUGCGUCCCUCUAGAAGCUAUGCACUCGGUAGAAGAGGAUGACCAUUCCCAAUAGAGGAGAACCGGUCUUUGGUCAAGGUUAUAUGAGCAGCUGCGCUCCCCUGCUAGAACCUCCAAAUAAAAAAUCUACAUAAAACUGACCUUCAAUUUUAACAUAACAAAGCAAAACAUGGAAUAGUGUUGGCAGCAUGUAAGCAUUACAGUAUCAGCUACUAGAAGACUAAUCUUGGAGAUAAGAAUCACUCU